rnacentral:rRNA from 1 species
GAAUGACUUAGCGAGAACUUGGUGGUAGCUUUUAAAUUCCCAAAAGAGUUUAUUAGCUACAAACUUGUUUGAGCUUGGUCGUUUAGAGGAAGUAAAAGUCGUAACAAGGUUUCU